GAAUGUGUAGCUCAACGGCAGAGCGAGCACGUUGCUGGCGACUAAGAUAUAGGGUUCAAGUCCCUAUCACAUUCA
rnacentral:tRNA from 1 species